rnacentral:rRNA from 1 species
GACGGAGGUCCCGAGCGUUGUUCGGAAUUAUUGGGCUUAAAGCGCGUGUAGGCGGAGCGGUAAGUACCUUGUGAAAUCCCCGGACUCAAUCCGGGAACUGCUUGGUAUACUGCCGUUCUCGAGGCAGGUAGGGGUCACUGGAACCUUAGGUGGAGCGGUGAAAUGCGUAGAUAUCUAAGGGAACGCCUGUGGCGAAAGCGGGUGACUGGGCCUGUCCUGACGCUGAGACGCGAAAGCGUAGGGAGCAAACGGG